rnacentral:rRNA from 1 species
GACGAACGCUGGCGGCGUGCCUAACACAUGCAAGUCGAACGAGUCCUGGCUUUCGGGCCAGAGGCGAGUGGCGGACGGGUGAGUAACACGUGAGCAAUCUGUCCCUGUGUGGGGGACAACCCGGGGAAACUCGGGCUAAUACCGCAUGGGCAGGAACUUCUUUGGAAGAACCUGGGAAAGAGGCCCUCUUUACAAUGGUCUCAUGCAGGGAGGAGCUCGCGGGCUAUCAGCUAGUGGUAGUGGUAACGGCCUACCAAGGCGACGACGGCUACGGGGUCUGAGAGGACGACCCCGCACAUUGGAACUGAGACACGGUCCAGACUCCUACGGGAGGCAGCAGUGGGGAAUUUUGGGCAAUGGCCGCAAGGCUGACCCAGCGACGCCGCGCGUGGGAUGACGCCUCUCGGGGGUNUAAACCACUGUCAGAGGGGAAGAAUGACUCACGUGUAAAUAAUGCGUGGGUGUGACGGUACCCU